UCCGAUGUCGCCCAACAGGCAGGGCCCGCGGCUGUUAACCGCGUGAUCCCGGUUCGAAUCCGGGCGUCGGAG
rnacentral:tRNA from 1 species